rnacentral:lncRNA from 1 species
UGUGCUUUUCUGCUAGGGGAUUCUAUGAGCUCAAAUUGAAGGACCAUUGCCAUGUUCAUUCAAAGUGAAGGACAAGAUACCUUGGGGAUUUCCUAAGAGACAUGUUUGAUUGCUUGAGCUUACUAUUAUUGUGAUUGCUUAUUCCAAAGGAUGGGAGCUACUUGGAUCAUCCAUAUGAUCUCAAGAGAGGGACUCCAUUAUGGUUUUGAUUCUUCAUCCCUUCUCUUUUUGCUUUGCUUAGGA